GUUCAAAAAUGGAAGCCAGCACACAUACUAAAAUUGCAAUGAUAUAGAGAAGAUUUAGCAUGGUCCCUGCAUGAGGAUGACAUGCAGAUUCAUGAAGUGUCCCAUAUUUAA
rnacentral:snRNA from 1 species